GGGCGGGGCCUACGGGAGGCAGCAGUGGGGAAUAUUGGACAAUGGGCGCAAGCCUGAUCCAGCAAUGCCGCGUGUGUGAAGAAGGCCUGCGGGUUGUAAAGCACUUUUAUUAGGAAAGAAAAGUCUGAGGUUAAUAACCUUCAGACCGUGACGGUACCUAAAGAAUAAGCACCGGCUAACUCAGUG
rnacentral:rRNA from 1 species